rnacentral:rRNA from 1 species
GACGAACGCUGGCGGCGUGCUUAACACAUGCAAGUCGAACGGAAAGGCCCUGCUUUUGUGGGGUGCUCGAGUGGCGAACGGGUGAGUAACACGUGAGUAACCUGCCCUUGACUUUGGGAUAACUUCAGGAAACUGGGGCUAAUACCGGAUAGGAGCUCCUGCUGCAUGGUGGGGGGUGGAAAGUUUCGGCGGUUGGGGAUGGACUCGCGGCUUAUCAGCUUGUUGGUGGGGUAGUGGCUUACCAAGGCUUUGACGGGUAGCCGGCCUGUGAGGGUGACCGGCCACAUUGGGACUGAGAUACGGCCCAGACUCCUACGGGAGGCAGCAGUGGGGAAUAUUGCACAAUGGGCGGAAGCCUGAUGCAGCAACGCCGCGUGCGGGAUGACGGCCUUCGGGUUGUAAACCGCUUUCGCCUGUGACGAAGCGUGAGUGACGGUAAUGGGUAAAGAAGCACCGGCUAACUACGUG